UACGUAGGGGGCAAGCGUUGUCCGGAAUCACUGGGCGUAAAGCGCACGUAGGCGGGUCGUUAAGUCGGGGGUGAAAUCCUGGAGCUCAACUCCAGAACUGCCUUCGAUACUGGCGAUCUUGGAGUCCGGGAGAGGUGGGUGGAACUGCGAGUGUAGAGGUGAAAUUCGUAGAUAUUCGCAAGAACACCAGUGGCGAAGGCGGCUCACUGGCCCGGUACUGACGCUGAGGUGCGAAAGCGUGGGGAGCAAACAGG
rnacentral:rRNA from 1 species